GAGAUGAUUGUCCUUGAAGAGGAAUCUGAGAUCUCAGUGGUUAAUGAAAACCUCCAUGAUGCCUCAGCCAUAAAUCCUGCAUCAAAGAUCCACUUUGUUGAAGACAAUGACGUGCCUGCUGCAGUGCCUGGUAUUGAGGCCAGUUGCAAAACCUGACUGAGGAGAGAGAGGAACUGAAGAAGAAUCUGCAUGACUUUGCUUCGGAAGG